UAGCAUUUUAUUUCUUCUUUCCAUGGGGAGUCAUUCCCAAAAUACCCAAACUAAUCUCUCUCUUUUUAUUCUUGUGGGAACUCCACCUCCGAAGAGCUUGCCAUGGGAUCCGUCUCCUCCUCCUUUUAUAGCCUUCACCAGCCCUCUCUCCUCCCCUGUUCCGAGUGCAAGAUAAGGAUGGAAGGCAGUGGGAUAAAGGUGAUAACUUCUGCUCCUUGAUCCUUGGACGCGGUGGAUGAGGAUUUGAGUCUAUCCGUGACUGCUGAAGCUGAUCUUCCUACUAGCGAGAACACAGGAUGCAUGCGAACGGUGGACGCUGCAGAUUUGUUGCAGAAGGCAGAACAUUGACUUGUUCCAUGUGUGUGAAGCUUGAUUCGGCUGAGCUUUGUUCCGCUGGAAACUCAUGCACUCCUCGCGGACG
rnacentral:lncRNA from 1 species